rnacentral:rRNA from 1 species
UACAGGGGGGGCAAGCGUUGUUCGGAAUUACUGGGCGUAAAGGGCUCGUAGGCGGCCAAUUAAGUCCGACGUGAAAUCCCCAGGCUUAACCUGGGAACUGCGUCGGAUACUGAUUGGCUUGAAUCCGGGAGAGGGAUGCGGAAUUCCAGGUGUAGCAGUGAAAUGCGUAGAUAUCUGGAGGAACACCGGUGGCGAAGGCGGCAUCCUGGACCGGCAUUGACGCUGAACAGCGAAAGCCAGGGGAGCAAACGGG